UGCACACGAGGAGUCUCCUUUUGUGAAACCGCGGAUUUGUAAUUCGAAGUCGUGAACAUCAUUUGGAGCUUUUGAUACCGUGGAUUAUGAAAUCUCGUUGCGUGGAUAUGCAUGUAAGAAUUUGACUGCAUUCUGACAAACAAACAUGGCGACCAUCUUGAUGCUUGUACUUCUGGCGGCCCUAACCGGUGACGCAAUACUCGCAAACCAAUGUUUCCACGGCAACGACAGUGUACUUUCGUUGGAGGUUGUGACGAACACCCAUGGGGACCGACUUGAGGCCAACUGCAC